rnacentral:rRNA from 1 species
CCUACGGGUGGCAGCAGUAGGGAAUAUUGCUCAAUGGGGGAAACCCUGAAGCAGCAACGCCGCGUGAAGGAUGAAGGCUUUCGGAUUGUAAACUCCUUUUUGUAGAGAAGAUAAUGACGGUAUCUGACGAAUAAGCACCGGCUAACUCCGUGCCAGCAGCCGCGGUAAUACGGAGGGUGCAAGCGUUACCCGGAUUCACUGGGCGUAAAGAGAGCGUAGGCGGGAUAGCAAGUCAGAUGUGAAAUGCUUGGGCUUAACCCUAGAACUGCAUUUGAAACUGUUAGUCUAGAGUAUAGGAGAGGUAGGUGGAAUUCGUGGUGUAGGGGUAAAAUGCGUAGAGAUCAAGAGGAACACUGAUUGCGAAGGCGGCUUACUGGACUGUAACUGACGCUGAGGCGCGAAAGCGUGGGGAGCAAACAGGAUUAGAUACCCCUGUAGUC